rnacentral:rRNA from 1 species
GAUCCUGGCUCAGAUUGAACGCUGGCGGCAUGCCUUACACAUGCAAGUCGAACGGCAGCGCGGGGCAACCUGGCGGCGAGUGGCGAACGGGUGAGUAAUAUAUCGGAACGUACCCUGGAGUGGGGGAUAACGUAGCGAAAGUUACGCUAAUACCGCAUACGAUCCAAGGAUGAAAGCAGGGGACCGCAAGGCCUUGUGCUCCAGGAGCGGCCGAUAUCUGAUUAGCUAGUUGGUGGGGUAAAGGCCUACCAAGGCAUCGAUCAGUAGCUGGUCUGAGAGGACGACCAGCCACACUGGAACUGAGACACGGUCCAGACUCCUACGGGAGGCAGCAGUGGGGAAUUUUGGACAAUGGGCGCAAGCCUGAUCCAGCAAUGCCGCGUGAGUGAAGAAGGCCUUCGGGUUGUAAAGCUCUUUUGUCAGGGAAGAAACGGUUGUGGCUAAUAUCCAUGGCUAAUGACGGUACCUGAAGAAUAAGCACCGGCUAACUACGUG